rnacentral:lncRNA from 10 species
GACCUCGUGAUUCACCCGCCUCGGCCUCCCAAAGUCUUGGGAUUACAGGCGUGAGCCACUGCGCCCGGCGGAGACUCCAUCUCAAAAAAAAAAAAAAAGUUAGAUAGAGUCUCCCUCUGUCACCCAGACCGGAGUGCAGUGGCGCUUUCUGGGCUCACUGCAACCUCCGCCUCCCGGGUUCAAGCGAUUCUCCUGCCUCAGCCUCCUGAGUAGCUGGGAAUAUAAGCGUGCGCCACCAUGCCCAGUUAAUUUUUGUAUUUUUAGUAGAGACGGGGGUUUUGCCAUGUUGGCCAGGCUGGUAAAUUCCUGGCCUCAAGCUAUCUGCCCGCCUUCGCCUCCCAAAGUGCUGGGAUUACAGGCGUAAGCCACUGUGCCCCAGCCUGUUUGUUUGUUUCCUCUCCUCCUUUCUGCAUCACCGCCUCCCAUCUCACCUCCUUCCAGAUUCCUUGCUCCAUCUCAUUCCCAUCCAGGUCACCCAGCUCCCCCUACCCCUUCCCACCUUAGCCUGGCUCCCUACUCCCCACGUCCUUAGGCUCUGGAGGCUGAAGCUCUGUCUUUCCAUUCGUCUGGAGCGCGUGCUCUUAUUUCUCUGCCUAGUUUGUCUCUUCCUAGAACAAAGUUAUUGAGAAAGGCAGAGAGAGGAGGCCUCUCUUUUUCCCAGGAGAUCCCUGAGAGCAGGAGCUGGGGCUCCCUGCUCAGACUGGGGGCUCCCUGAAGGCAGAGGCUGUGUCUCAUCCCUGAGAUGGGGAGACUCCCUGAGUGCAGAGCGGGGGCUGCUCCCUUUCCUGGCUCUGCUUCUCCAGUUACUUUCCUGCCCGCCAGGGCCAGCCUGAGAUGACAAGGAAGUUACAAGUUACAGUUACAGUCAUGGACUGGGAGAUUGGAUCAGGGAGGGGCUACCUCACCCUGCUGGCCCAGCCUGGCCCCAUCCGUGAGAAAGUCCCUCCAGCUUCCCCUCCCACCCCAGGCCCUCUUGGACUCCUCUUUCGUUACCUGGGCCUUUGUUACUCAGCAGUGCGUUUGGGAGAAAAGGCACAGCAGCUCUCACCUCCUGCCUGUGCCCCCAAAAUUCUGUGAGAUCUUUGUGGGCAGAGAGGCUUCUCUUCUCUGAAGUCCAAGCUUCUCAGAGCCCAACCACAGGAGAGGCCGAAACAUGGUUCCAGUCCUGCCACAGUUGGAACAAGGGGGCCCAGAGAAGGUGGAAGGGCAAGGCAAGUGGGGAGGGGAGGGGGGUGCAGGAAGCGAAUGACUCUGCCUUGGGGUUGGGAGGCUGACAUACAUGGCAGACCCUGACAGGCACUGGGAGAGUCUGCACCUACAUCUUAGGGAAACUGAGGCAGGGCCGAUUCCUCUUCUUCCCCCACAAGAGAUGGGAGUGUGGAGCUGAGAGAAAGGCCCAGUGAAGUCAAAACCCAGAGGUGCUCAGGGCACAGCUGAGACCAGAGAGGACAAAGCCCAGCAGGAGCCCAGGGCCCAGUGGGGCCUCCGAGACCCUAGCACCUGAGGACAACUUCAUGCCUGCGUGUGGCAGGAAGGGCCGAGUUACAGCGGUCCUCAAAGGAGGGAUGCGGAGCUGCAGAACCAGAGAUGGAAGCCCCGAGAAAGACAGAGAGAGGCAGAAUGAGAGACACAGACAGAGAUGGAGAAUGCGAGGGACACACACAGUGUAAGACACACAGACAGAAAAUGAGAGAAGAGAGAGGCAAAAAAAAGAGAGAGGGAGGAGACUGGGUGGGAGGAGAGGAAAGGGAGGGGACAGGGGAGGUGACACAGGAGAAAGUGGAGAGAUCCUGAGACACUUGGGAGGAGGGGAGGAGGAGGAAGAAAGGGCCCCAGGGGCGGUGGUCCCAGGAGAGGGGGCGUACUGGCCAGCACCUCUGACCCUAGGUCCCAACAAAGAACUGCUUAAGGACCGCCACAGGCGCAAGAUGGAUGGGCAUGUGGCUGCCGGCCCCUUUGUGGCGGGGGAUAAAAGGCAGCAGGCUCUGAGGACAGUCUUCAGGGUUCCCCACCGCUUGAGGCUCCCCUGCCCCUCCCCCAAUGAUCUCUGGAGGCUUCAAGUGUGGUGGGAGGUGGGGAGGGGAGGAGCUGAGUCCAACCAGGUGUUUCUCCUGGCUGGGCCAGUCGCACCUGAGGAAAAAGGGGGACAGGGCUGUGGGCUGUGGGGGGCCUGGGAGGGGCUCCCUGAGUCUUUGUGGAAAGUGAAUCAGUCACAGGCAAAUAAGGUGGAUGGGCCAGGCUGACGGGGCCCCAGCAGAGGGGGUUGAGGCUCUUGUUCUAGUGACCGUCGGAGGUCCCCUGGCCAGGGCUUCCCACCUCUCUCCUUUGGGCCUGGCACUGCCCUCCCGACCUUUUGGCUUCCUCCUGCCCUGUCCCCCUUGGCACUGCCAGUCGAGAAACCAGUUCUGUUCCUGCCCUGGAUAAGAAUCUCUGGGCUGGGCUCUUCCCAGGCAGCGGCAGAAACCUGGCAGGAAGACAGCACCCCCGCCCCCAGCCAGGGCCAGAUCUCCCCACUGCAGGCCCACCCCAGCUGCAGGCGGCCCCUUCCUACCAUCUUUCCCAGGGUCCAGUGCCACUUUCCUGCAGCCCCGAGGACACAUCCUUGCUGCCUACACUUGGUUUCCCCUGCAUCGGGGUCAGACCCACGGCUCUUUAUGGAAGGAUGGGACCUAGGAGCCCCCUCCCCCUCCUCUCCUGUCUAACUUCCUUCUCUUUCCGUGACACUUGGCCCUCUAGAGUGCCUUGCCCGUCCCCAUUUCCACUCGAAGAGAAGAGCUCCUUAGAACACCCUUGCAGGAGUCAGGGUCCCUCCCUGCUCUUUCCUUGGGUGUCCCAGAAGCCGGGCUGCUCCUUCCCCCCCACUUCCCCUUCCUGAGCCUCCUCCCCAGUCCCCACAGGCUCCCCGCAUCUGCUCUCAUCAAUCGCUCCCCAACGGCAGGGUCAGCCCCUUGCUCAAUCACUGGCACUGAAGGGCGUCGGGUGAGACAGGGUUGACCCCACUUAACCCAGCCCCGGGUCUCCUCUUGGCCCAUCAUUCAUUUCCCGUGACAUUUGGUCCCUUUUUCAUCCUUUGGACAUGCAGCCCCCGCUCCUCCAGCGGGAAAGGACUUUAAAAGUUCAUCUUCUCUGUUCUUCUCCCUCCUCAUCACAUGUCUGCUGCUCUCCGUCCCUGCCCUGCACCCCAGAAACUGUGGGCUGCUCCUUGUUCCUGUCCCGGCCCACUGCAGCACUGGCCAGCCUCUCCAGCUUCCUCCAGGCAUCCAGCCGCUCACAGGGGGCGGUGGAGAGACCCAAUGGCAGAGGCAGAGAGGAGGGCAAUUCUGGAAGCCGUCAGGGCAGAUCUGGGGGCGUCUGGAGGAGUCUAGACUUGAGCCUCAGCUCCCACCCCCGCUGCUUGAGGUGAGCGGGUGUGUCAGGCCAGGCAGGGACUCAAGCUGGUGACUCAAGCCCGACAGCUGCAUGGUCCUCAGCAAGGAGUCCUCCCUCCCGCAGCCCCAAGGUGGAAUCUUAGAAGCUGGGAAUUCCAGAACCAGAGAGCAGAGUCCCAGAAGGAAGGGACCUCAGGGAUCCUGCCUCUCCUUUGUGUGAGAGGAAACUAACUGGAGGACCACAAAAGGGCAUGGCCAGCUUGGGGGUCACCCAGGUGUCAGGGAAAUCAUUAGUCACAGAAGAGGGGCUGCUUGGGUUCAGUACAAACCAGCUUAGUCCCAACGGGUGUCAGCCAGACCCCUCCGCACCCUCUUCCUCACCAGCGAGGGGCCUGGGUUCUUCAGUGUGGAAAGAAAUGUCAGUCUUUCCCACAGCCUACGUUCCCACCUCUCAUCCCGGAGUGGGCAAGCCCCUGCCCCCGUGCUGGGCCUCUCUCCUGUCCUUCCCCGCUGCAGAUGAUGAGGCCGGGACAGGUGUGGGGCCCUCUAGGCUCAGGUGAGGGGUUAUGAGCUAAGGUUUCAAGAGGAGCCUGAGAGCAGGGGACCCAGGUCUCAGCGAGAGCUGCGUGGGGAGGAGGAGCCACCUUGCCUGAUGCAGGUUGCAGCCAGAAGGGGGGACCCAGAAGAUUCCUCAGCCGCCCAACCAGCCCCUAAGUCCAUCGCAGCCCACCCCAGGACGUGCCUGAGUAGAAGGAGACCCAAGACACAGGCACAGCCUUCCAUCCAUUGAGGAAGUAUUUUCUGAGCUCCUACUCUCUGCCAAGCACAUCCACUCCCGCUCCUCCCACCAAGUUCUGGAGCCAGGACGGGACCUCCAGAGCAAGCACUGUGGGACGGGUGUCCAGAAGAACCCACUUCUACCACCGCCAGCCUCUGCUGCCCGCAGGCUGCCUGUGUCUCAGCCCCAGCCCCCGUCCUCACAGCUGCAAAUAAAGGCUCAAUCUUUCAUCAAAACUUUCCUGCAAUUGUCCUUCUGUCAUCACAGCCCCUGAUGCAGAAACCAACCAAGGAGCUGUAGAAACACAGAGGCAGAAAGGUGAGGUCAUCCCGUCUAGCACCCAGUCUCAGGGCAAGAACGCGUUCCACAGCCCAGCUGAGUCUCAGAGAGAGUCCACCCUCCCACAGCCUUCUUUGGCUCACUUCUCCCCAGGGUUUGCCCACAUUCCUCCAGGGAAGUCCUUCCUGGAGGCUAACUUAAGUGCCUCCUGCUGUCGCUUUAACUUCUCAAGGGGAUGAAACCCAGAAGAUAGGCUUAUUUUCUCAAGGGGCUCAGGGACUGGGGUGGGGAGUGCUGUGGGCGCACAAGUGGGAAAACUUUCUCCACCUCUCUCAGCUUUCUUUUCUUUCUCUUCUCCACACCUCAUUCUUUCCCUUUCCCUCCUCUCUCUUUAGUCGUCUCCCACUCAACUCAGCUGCUGGCUGGGAGCCAGCAUUGUUCCUGCCUGGCUCCCCUCUCCCCUCCUCCUUCCCUCUCUGCGCCCCCCUCCAGCCAGCCCAGUCCCUGGCAUGCGGUAGCCCCAGCUGGGGGGCAGGGCAGCACGCAAGACCUUUCCUGCCCCGUCUUCUGCCUCCUCCUCACUCUUCCCUUCCAGUCCCCAUUGAUGGCCCCCACCCAGCAUAGGAGGCUGGGGAGCUUGGGUUACCCAGGCCCCUGGUUAUUUUUAUUGCCACCAGCUCAGGAGAUAAAUAUACCUCCCCUCCCCGCAGCUGUCCUGGACGGAGUAACACAUCCCUUCCCAAUUCACUCCCUCUCCUACCGUUCAUCCACUCACCUCAACGUCGAGUUGACUCACCCGAACGUCUUCUGCUCACAUUCUCUCCUAGUCAGUCCCUCUGGACCCUGGACUCCCUGCAGAAAGACAGCUUGACCCCCAAGCUCAGAAAUGGGACGGGAGGAGAGCCUCGGUGUCUUGGCUCCACCUAGUGGCUUCUCGAGACACCACACCUAGCGAAGGGGUCUAGCGGGAGCCUCGCCUUGAUGCCACCCGGCUGGGGCAGGACUUCACAACACUGCGGGGAGGAGGCGCCGCGCAGAAGUUGCUUCUGCUAGUGGUUGAGCCUCCAGGCUGAGCCUGGGCCCUGAGACCCCUCUCCCACUUGGCCAGGCGAGGGGCUGGUGGUCUACAGCCCACUGCCUCUUCCUCCUUGUGAUUCCAAACCGUUCUGUUAGAUCCCACAAUCCAGGGAGGUUCUUGGAAUUCAUUUGCGGGUCUCUGGAAAUAGUUAAGGGCAGAAACUGAAGCUCCCCAGAGAGGACAGAAGGGGAACCCAGGGAUCAAGAUGGACUGCUGUUCAUUCCCAGCUUGUUAGAGUUCCUGGGAUUCAAGAAGCCACCAGUCCUCUAGAACAGAUCUCAAAAUGAAUCCCCCAAGAGUGGUUAUCUGGUCUGUGUUUGAACACCCAGGAACAGGGUCCUCACUCCCUCUGGUGGCAGUUCGUUCCAGGACAGAGACAAGUAUUGUGACUGGCUCGUUUGGGCUGAAAUU